rnacentral:misc_RNA from 1 species
CGGUCUGACAAGUGACUGAAUAUCUAUUAGAGAAAGGGCAACAUAGAUUUCAGUUUCAUAACAUGACUAUGACAUAACCUCAAAUAACUGAAACUGAAAUGUCUAGUGUCUGGGUUAUAAAGAAAUUUUAUUUUAAAUCAGCUAAAUAUACUAGAAAUCAUGGGAACUUGGACACUAGAGAUUGCCAAAAUGGCACUUUAUGUAGUUUUUCCUGUGGCACUUUUUCAUUACUUUAACCAACCACAGUAUUUUGAAGAUUGGGUUGUAGAAAAGAAGCGUGAAUUGUUUCCCCCCGAAACUGAAGCAAAAAGAGAAUUUCAAAGGACACUAGAGGAAAUUAAAGCCAAGCAAAACCUAAGAGUAAUAGAAAACUUAGAAAAUGUAAAAAAAUAAAAUAUUGUAAAG